rnacentral:rRNA from 1 species
UACGGAGGAUGCGAGCGUUAUCCGGAUUCAGUUGGGUUUAAAGGGUGCGUAGGCGGGACUGUAAGUCAGGGGUGAAAUACUGCAGCUUAACUGUAGCAUUGCCUUUGAAACUGCCGUUCUUGAGUACAGUUGAGGUAGGCGGAAUGUGGUGUGUAGCGGUGAAAUGCAUAGAUAUACCACAGAACGCCGAUUGCGAAGGCAGCUUACUAAGCUGUUACUGACGCUGAGGCACGAAAGCGUGGGGAUCAAAUAGGAUUA